UUGAGCGUCAGUACCCACUCUUUCGAAAAUUCUUUUCGUCAGGUCUUGGAGGACACCUUGUCCUCUCAAUGUAGACGCUUGCGAACCCGAUACCGAUCAUGACGUAGUAAUUUCAUUUCGUCCUGUCAAGUUGAAGGCCGCCUGAACACCGAACUUUGUAGUUUGACCUCAGAUCAGACAAGGAUACCCGCUGAACUUAA
rnacentral:misc_RNA from 1 species